UUUGUAGCUUUUCUUCCCGAUAUAUUGGAUUCAAAAGCAGAAGGAAGAAACAAGUACCUAGACAUGUUGAUGUCAGUUGCUGAGAAAUUCAAAAGGAGCCCGUACAGCUAUGUGUGGGCCGCGGCAGGGAAGCAGGCUGAUCUCGAAAAUCAGGUUGGUGUUGGUGGUUAUGGUUAUCCGGCGCUGGUUGCUCUUAAUGUGAAGAAAGGUGCAUAUGCCCCACUUCGAAGUGCUUUUGAACUGGACCAGAUCACCGAGUUUGUGAAGGAGGCAAGUCGCGGUGGCAAGGGAAACCUGCCACUAAGCAGUGUUCCCACAAUCGCCGCAACCGAACCGUGGGACGGUAAAGAUGGUGAGGUCUUGGAAGAAGAUGAAUUUUCUCUUGAAGAGCUCAUGGGCGAAGACACCGCAGGCAAAGAUGAGUUGUAACCUGCAGGCGCAAGAUAUUCGACCAUUUGGUAUCUCACUUAUAACUGUUUUCAUCAUUGCUAGUAUUUAAUCACUUAGAAUGUCAGACAGUUUUGUUGAGUCUCGG
rnacentral:misc_RNA from 1 species